GCAGCCUCUUGCAAAGCCAGUAUCGCAUGAAUCUGAAAGUGUAGAUCUGCCUGUUCCAACCAAUACCAUUACCAUUCAAGAAACAAUUCUACAGUGAAGAAGAAGAAACAAAAAUGUCUAUCUCAACUCUUUCACCUACACUGUAGUCCUGAGAUGAUGAUAUAAGAGAAGAAGCAAUAAGAAACAAGGGCAACCAAGAACAGUAGACCACAUAGAAUUGAAGAAAAUUUAGAUGAAGUUCAUUGGUGUAUACCGGUUAGCUACAACUCCAGGGCGGUACCUAUGGGGCUUCUUCACCACUACAGCAUUGGGGACUUCGUGAGGGAUUUCCUGAAAAUUCCAAAAGAGGAAGAAAGAAUCUUCAUAUUUGUAACCUAGCAAUAUACGAAGUAUACAUUAUUAGAUGGUAAUUCAUGCAUGAAAUGUACCAGUAUUUUGAUGCUCUUUAGAAAAUUCAAAUAAAACUGAAGUUUUUAUUUUA